rnacentral:rRNA from 1 species
AGUGGGGAAUAUUGCACAAUGGGCGCAAGCCUGAUGCAGCCAUGCCGCGUGUAUGAAGAAGGCCUUCGGGUUGUAAAGUACUUUCAGCAGUGAGGAAGGUGGUGUAGUUAAUAACUGCAUCAUUUGACGUUAGCUGCAGAAGAAGCACCGGCUAACUCCGUGCCAGCAGCCGCGGUAAUACGGAGGGUGCGAGCGUUAAUCGGAAUUACUGGGCGUAAAGCGCAUGCAGGUGGUUUGUUAAGUCAGAUGUGAAAGCCCGGGGCUCAACCUCGGAAUUGCAUUUGAAACUGGCAGACUAGAGUACUGUAGAGGGGGGUAGAAUUUCAGGUGUAGCGGUGAAAUGCGUAGAGAUCUGAAGGAAUACCGGUGGCGAAGGCGGCCCCCUGGACAGAUACUGACACUCAGAUGCGAAAGCGUGGGGAGCAAA